UUUCAAUAAAAAAAAACAAUAUGUUAUGCAGGUUCGCUGGGUUUCAAUAAGGUGCUGCUGAUCAUUCUAUGAUGAAUAGCAAAGCAAUACUAUUUGACGAAAGUACUCAACUAAGGCCACAGCAGGAAUAAAUCUUUUGUACCGCACUACACAGGGUUUAGUACGUUUUUUAACAAAACUGCUACGGCUUACGACAGUCGAAGCUGAAGGAAGGUUCUCAAGUUUCGCUCUGGCACAAAAUAAUUGAAAAAGAAAGAGAGUCGAUUUCGGCGGGUGCUCAAGGAACUAAUCGCUAGCGAGUCGAUGCAAAAAAAGGGAAGCGGGAUCCUUCUUUUGGUCCCUUAUAUAUCUGUUGAUGUCUUCAUGGUGGUGUGAUCGGUGUUAAGUUGUAUUUGUGUGCGUGUUGGUGCA